GUACUCACUUUGGCAGCACAUAGACUAAAAUUAGAACAAUACAGAGAUUAGCAUACCCCUUGCACAAGGAUGACACACAAAUUCAUGAAGCAUUCCAUAUUUUU
ensembl:snRNA U6 U6 spliceosomal RNA